rnacentral:snRNA from 1 species
AUACCUUUCUCGGCCUUUUGGCUAAGAUCAAGUGUAGUAUCUGUUCUUAUCAGUUUAAUAUCUGAUACGUGGGUCAUCGAUUCACAUGAUAUUAAAUUAAUUUUUCUAUGGGGAGAGUCCAUUACAAUAGCUUGCUAUUGGACUUUCGAAUGUCUCCUUUGUGUUGCACAAUUACAUCGGUUGGCAUAUCCCUA